CAUUAUAUCCAGCUUGGGCAUAUCCUGUUGGCCGAAGCUGAAAGGCUGUUCCAGGGCCAGGCACUUACAGUACUGAAGGACAGCAAUCAGAAGAGUGAACAUAUAUCUCUGUUCCCUGCAAACGGCCUUCUGGGUCCCCAUUUAACAACGAACGUCCCGGCGGCCUCUGGAAAUGUUGACUGCCAAAGUAACGACGUCUGUGACAUCUGCGAACCCUCCUGUAUCCCAUAGUUCCCGCCCAUUUGGCUCGUUGGCGCCAAGUUCUCCAGUGCUGGGCCAGACGAAAACGAAUGCUCAGGUACCUUCGGCCCCGAUUUGGCAACCGAGCUAGCCUUCUCACUUUGAGCAGUCUGGGUCUCCUCUGCGCCAUGCAGUGGGUAAAGUCAUCAGUAACCCUGACAUCCAUUUCUGCCACCUGCGAAUGCUCCGGUGUUCCCCAAUCCUUGUCAUCCCCUUGAUCUUGAAGAUGAAAAAUGCCUUGAUCCUCCAGAUCUUCUCCACUCUCCAUCUCCACAUCAUCCUCUUCUUCUUCCUCCUCCUCCUCUUCCUCGUCCUCCACCUCGGGGACUGUGUAGUCUGCACCCCACAUUCUGACGUCUUCCUCUCUGCGCCCCAGUUUAAAAUGGGCUGGGCUCGGGGCAUGUUGAGCCAUGGCUGGGUUCAUUAAAUGACCCCCUCCAAUGGCACCCCCACCCCCGGCGCCCUCCUGCCCAGCAGUCAGCGUCAGCUCAUUAGACCAGUGUGUUUGAGCCAGGCUGCUGCCACUGUCUCUCAUGAUCCAGGAGCACCCUACAACCUGCGCCAGCCUGCCUCCUUCACUAAUGCAUGAAGAAGAAAAUUUAAAAACCAUGUCAGUGUCAUCUCUUAACUUGUCAAAGAUGCCAAAGAAAAACCUUUAAAGUAUCAAACAGCGAAGUGAGAAAUCUAGCUAUUCUUCUUGAAAACACUCUUACUUAAGCUAUAAACCGUUACUUUUAUCAGCUAUGGGCGCUCUUUUUUUAUCACUAUGCCCAACCUUGAACUUCCUGUUUGUUUUCCCGCAGUAAGCCAUUUUGAGUGUGGCAACACCUGUUAGUCUAAUCUCUAAAAACAGCCUGGUUCAAGAAGUAAAAUCAAAUGAAGCAAAAUAAUUAUAACAGCAUACCUAGAUGCACCACAUGAAUGAAUAAUACUGCUUAUUACAGACAAGGCAAUAAACACAUUGCUGAAAACAUUUCAUGUCUCAGUUGUAAAUGUUGGAGUCUAC
rnacentral:lncRNA from 1 species